rnacentral:rRNA from 1 species
AUUGAACGCUGGCGGCAGGCCUAACACAUGCCAGUCGAGCGGAUGAAGGGAGCUUGCUCCUGGAUUCAGCGGCGGACGGGUGAGUAAUGCCUAGGAAUCUGCCUGGUAGUGGGGGAUAACGUCCGGAAACGGGCGCUAAUACCGCAUACGUCCUGAGGGAGAAAGUGGGGGAUCUUCGGACCUCACGCUAUCAGAUGAGCCUAGGUCGGAUUAGCUAGUUGGUGGGGUAAAGGCCUACCAAGGCGACGAUCCGUAACUGGUCUGAGAGGAUGAUCAGUCACACUGGAACUUAGACACGGUCCAGACUCCUACGGGAGGCAGCAGUGGGGAAUAUUGGACAAUGGGCGAAAGCCUGAUCCAGCCAUGCCGCGUGUGUGAAGAAGGUCUUCGGAUUGUAAAGCACUUUAAGUUGGGAGGAAGGGCAGUAAGUUAAUACCUUGCUGUUUUGACGUUACCAACAGAAUAAGCACCGGCUAACUUCGUG